rnacentral:rRNA from 1 species
AUUGAACGCUGGCGGCAUGCCUUACACAUGCAAGUCGAACGGCAGCACGGGAGCAAUCCUGGUGGCGAGUGGCGAACGGGUGAGUAAUAUAUCGGAACGUGCCCGGUCGUGGGGAUAACGUAGCGAAAGCUACGCUAAUACCGCAUACGAUCUACGGAUGAAAGCGGGGGAUCGCAAGACCUCGCGCGAUUGGAGCGGCCGAUAUCAGAUUAGGUAGUUGGUGAGGUAAAGGCUCACCAAGCCGACGAUCUGUAGCUGGUCUGAGAGGACGACCAGCCACACUGGGACUGAGACACGGCCCAGACUCCUACGGGAGGCAGCAGUGGGGAAUUUUGGACAAUGGGCGCAAGCCUGAUCCAGCAAUGCCGCGUGCAGGAUGAAGGCCUCGGUUGUAAC